rnacentral:lncRNA from 1 species
GUCUGAACUCUGGCAAGGUGGAUCAACAUGGCAGGUAAUAAAUAAAUAUUGGGGCUAUAUUGACUUUUAUCAUAGGGGAAGUGCUUGGGAAUGAGUAGAGUUUAUCUGACACUGCCCCCUACCCAGUAAAAUUAAUUGAUGAACCAACAACCUCUACAUAGGAAAGGCCAGAGAAACUUGGAAGAAUAAUCCAGAGAUAACUGAACAUUUCAAAAGGGGUUUGAAUUAUAAAACUGCUAUAAACUGAUGAAAGGGGUUGGGGUGAAUUUACUGAAUAACAUUCAAUUGGAAUCGUUCAUUCGUUGGAAUCGUUCAUUGAGAUCUAUUAGAACUAACUUCUGCAAGCAGGCUUCCAGCUACGUACAGCUAUUAAUUAGGCAUAGGGCAGGAGAGCAAAAAUAAAAUUUGCUGGAGAUUCCUGCAUUGAUAGCUCUGUAGUUGGAGGGAUUUACCAUACUCCUGACCCCUUGCUGUUGGCACGGAGACAACCGGAGCUGAAGGCAAACAUAACAUUCUGCUGUCAUGAAUGAUGUCACAGACAGCAUAAGCUCCAAAUUCUUGGCAGUUGACAACAGAGAGUUAACAGACAGACCAAAUUUGAACUCUGGCAAGAUGGAUAUUUGUAACAGGUGAUGAGUUUAUUUGUGGGGAGGGGGUGUCUAUUAACCUACAAACCACUCCAUGCUAAUCAGUACCUUGCCCAUCUAAGUGUCACAAAGGAGAAGCUGCUAUACCAUUUUGCAACUGCUAUAAAACUAUCUGUGAAUGUUCUAGUAUGCGUGUGCAUGGGAACCCCCAUUAAAUCAAAGCCAUUCAAGCAGAGGAGUGUGGAAAUGUAUAGUCUCCCUUUGAGGCAGAAUGUUUGAAGAUUCAGGACUGAUAAAAGUGCUUCUUCACUCAGUGCAUAGCGUUACUCACCACCACAGGAGGCAAUGACCAAGUGGGAUGGUUUUAAAAGACGAUGAGAUAAAUUAGCCAUAGGCAAACUCGGCCCUCCAGAUGUUUUGGGAUUACAACUCCCAUCAUCCCUAGCUAACAGGACCAGUGGUCAGGAAUGAUGGGAGUUGUAGUCCCAAAAUAUCUGGAGGACUGAGUUUGCCUAUGUCUGAGAUAAAUGAAUGGAAGAUAAGGCUAUCUGUGACUACUAGCUGUGGCUACCACCCAGGAGGACUCUCCUGCUCAAUGCCUGAGGAUCCCAGUCCUGCCACUCACCACCUGGCCCAGGGCGGGGCCUGAUGGGCUCUAUAAAGGACUGUUGCCGCUGGGCAGAGAGGACUCCAUUUUGUUUUUGUUUUUUGUUUAAAUUGCUCCUAUUUUUAGCCUAUGUCAUUUUAAACUGUGAUAUUAAUGCUGUAUUCUUAGUUUUAGAUUUUGACUUAUGUGUAAAUUGUUUCCCAUUUGGUUGUGCAUUUUUUGAUGUGGUUUAUUUAUUGUUUGUGAUUUUUGUAAUUAUGUAAAUCUUGUUAUGCUGUAAGCUGUCUUAAGCAUUGCUUUUUUAACUGUGGAAAGGCGACAUACAAAUAAAAAUGAUGAUGAUGAUAGCAGCAGUGCUCUAGAAACUGCAGGAGGGGAGAGUGAUCUCAUUCUCAGGUCCUGCUUGUGUGCUUCCAACAGGAAUCUGGUUGGCUGCUGUGAGGACACAGGAUGCUGGGCUAGACGGACCAUUGGCCUGAUCCAGCCAGCUCUUCUUAUGUUCUUACAUUCCCUUUACUUCAAAGAAUGAGGAAGGCAUUCCAGGCUGGAAGACUUUGAGCACAUAGGAACACAAGACCACCGGACUGAGGAGUCGGCAUUGAAAACGAAUAAGCAAUGUAUAUUCAUUUCAUCUAAUCACUAGAGGGCAGUGUUGGCAUUUGAAUGGUGGAUUUAUCUCUGCCGGUUGACAGAACUUGAGCAAAAACGCUCAAUAAUUCCCUAUCAGGAUUUCUGAUCUGUUUGAAUAAUUUGGCACCACAGCAAUCUUCUGAUUUUCACAGAGCUGGAUGAAAUCUGUAUAAAAUCAGCAGAUGAAUGAGGCUUAUAUUCUGUUUAACACUUCAGGUCCUGAUUCCUGACCUAGAUUGGGUUGACUACCAGAAUGCACUUUCAUUCUCUGCGACCUUUCGGUUUUGUUUUAACUGGUAAUUCAUUUCCUUUCCUUUCAGAAAGAUGGCAACGAAAGUGCAAUACCUCUUGUGUUUAUGAACCAGUAUGGAUUGCUUGCAACUAAAAAUUAUGAAUUCUAUCAAGGGAUUUUAAGCGAUAUUGCUUCCUUGCUGAAACUAGAAAUUUUAAAAACUCUAGAUCAGAGGUGGGUAGCCUUCAAGGUUGUGGGAUCUGUUUUUCUUUUGUCUAGAACCCCAAGGUUCUAAUAGCAGCCAAGUGCAAGAUAAAAUGAAAGAACAGGACACCUCUUCAGCCAGGUAAGUGCCUUCAGUACUAGAACUGAGCUCACAGUCCUUUCACACACAAAAAUCCAGACCCAGUUUCCCUAUACACUUUCUUUGUUUCGGCAGCCUAAUUUGGGGUGGGGUAGAUUUUGUUAAACAACAAAAAGUCAGAAAUCCUUAUUUACUGUAAAUCAGCCAGAGAUGUUCGAAUAGAUCUCAAACUACUUUCUGACCAUCCCUGUUCUAAAUCUGUAAUCUGGCUUACAACAAAAGCUCAUGACAGGUAAAAGGUAAAGGGACCCCUGACCAUUAGGUCCAGCUGUGACUGACUCUGGGGUUGCGGCGCUCAUCUCACUUUACUGGCCGAGGGAGCCGGCAUACAGCUUCCGGGGUCAUGUGGCCAGCAUGACUAAGCCGCUUCUGGUGAACCAGAGCAGCGCACGGAAACACCGUUUACCUUCCCGCCGGAGCGGUACCUAUUUAUCUACUUGCACUUUGACGUGCUUUCGAACUGCAAGGUUGGCAGGAGCAGGGACCGAGCAACGGGAGCUCACCCCGUCGCGGGGAUUUGAACCGCCAACCUUCUGAUCGGCAAGUCCUAGGCUCUGUGGUUUAACCCACAGCGCCACAAUGACAGGUAGCAGUUAGUAAACUUUUUUUUAAAAAAGGUUACCUGCCCUUGAUGAGACUCAGGAGUUGCCUGCACUCUGAGCUACAAGGGAGUUUUUAUGUAUUGAUUUAACCCAUGCUCUUUAUCUGACUCUUUAAGAGGUUCUCACAGCAGUGGCUUUAAAUGACUCUGCAUAGUCUAGUGUGCUGGCAGAGACAAGGCAUGCUGAGUAAAUUUAGGGACACAGGAAGUUGUCUUAUACAAAGACACACGCUUAACCUAAUUUGAUACUGUCUAUGGUGCACCCAUUGACUCUAGAGUGGCAGAGACUGGGACCUCUUAUAGGCAAAAUAUAUGUACUUCCACUGAGCUGGGACCCAGCUAGAGCAGUUGAGGCCCACUAAGCUGCCUUCAUUUUGUGCUGAGUUCUCAAGAAGCUUGGAAGUGGCAAGAAAGGGGCUAUUUCUGAUGUUUCCAGGGAGCCUGCUGCAAAGGAAGCAAAGCCAGCCCUACCCUUAGGCAGGGUGAGGCAGUUGCUUCAGGUGGCAGAUACUAAAGGACAGCGAAAAGCAAUAAGAUGUUGGGGGACAGAGCGAGGUGCACUAUGUUGCCUUCUCUGUGCCCCCAAAGCUACCCCGCUGCCCUCAGGUGCUGGGGAAGAUGCUGUGCUGUUUGCCAGUGCUGACGUAAGAUUUCUGUCUGGUGGGCUUCUAGCCGCAAUGGCUAUGUUCCACCUUUACUGUCAGAGGCAGUACCGGUAUGUUUCUGAAAACCAGUUGCUGGGAAUCACAAAUGGGGAGAGUGUUGUGCUCAGGUACUGCUUUUGGGUUUUCUGGUAGGCUGUUGGCUCUUCUUUUUUAUUGCAUUUUUGAAAAUUACAGAGAGAAAAAGAGUACCGGUAAAUAAGAAAUUAC